rnacentral:tRNA from 1 species
GCGGGCGUAGUUCAAUGGUAGAAUACAAGCCUUCCAAGCUUGAUACGUGGGUUCGAUUCCCACCGCCCGCUCCA